UACGAAGGGGGGCUAGCGUUGUUCGGAUUUACUGGGCGUAAAGCGCACGUAGGCGGAUUGUUAAGUCAGGGGUGAAAUCCUGGAGCUCAACUCCAGAACUGCCUUUGAUACUGUCGGUCUAGAGUAUGGAAGAGGUGAGUGGAAUUCCGAGUGUAGAGGUGAAAUUCGUAGAUAUUCGGAGGAACACCAGUGGCGAAGGCGGCUCACUGGUCCAUUACUGACGCUGAGGUGCGAAAGCGUGGGGAGCAAACAGG
rnacentral:rRNA from 1 species